rnacentral:rRNA from 1 species
UGGGGAAUAUUGGACAAUGGGCGCAAGCCUGAUCCAGCCAUGCCGCGUGAGUGAUGAAGGUCUUAGGAUUGUAAAGCUCUUUCACCGGUGAAGAUAAUGACGGUAACCGGAGAAGAAGCCCCGGCUAACUUCGUGCCAGCAGCCGCGGUAAUACGAAGGGGGCUAGCGUUGUUCGGAUUUACUGGGCGUAAAGCGCACGUAGGCGGACUAUUAAGUCAGGGGUGAAAUCCCGGGGCUCAACCCCGGAACUGCCUUUGAUACUGGUAGUCUUGAGUUCGAGAGAGGUGAGUGGAAUUCCGAGUGUAGAGGUGAAAUUCGUAGAUAUUCGGAGGAACACCAGUGGCGAAGGCGGCUCACUGGCUCGAUACUGACGCUGAGGUGCGAAAGCGUGGGGAGCAAACA